rnacentral:rRNA from 1 species
UACGUAGGCAGCGAGCGUUGUUCGGAAUUACUGGGCGUAAAGAGUGUGUAGGCGGUGCUCCCAGUCUGUUGUGAAAUCUCCCGGCUUAACUGGGAGGGUGCAGCGGAAACUAGAGUGCUAGAGGGUGGGAGAGGUAAGCGGAAUUCCUGGUGUAGCGGUGAAAUGCGUAGAUAUCAGGAGGAACACCUGUGGUGUAGACAGCUUACUGGACCACUUCUGACGCUGAGACACGAAAGCAUGGGUAGCAAACAGG